rnacentral:rRNA from 1 species
UACGAAGGGGGCUAGCGUUGCUCGGAAUCACUGGGCGUAAAGCGCACGUAGGCGGAUUGUUAAGUCAGGGGUGAAAUCCUGGAGCUCAACUCCAGAACUGCCUUUGAUACUGGCGAUCUCGAGUCCGGGAGAGGUGAGUGGAACUGCGAGUGUAGAGGUGAAAUUCGUAGAUAUUCGCAAGAACACCAGUGGCGAAGGCGGCUCACUGGCCCGGUACUGACGCUGAGGUGCGAAA